GAGGUCUCGUGCAGCCCGCCAGAACCGAAGGUUCUGGAGACGACGACUAACUGGUAUUCCCCAUGCGUGGGAAGCCUCGCCGUUUACGGCGAGGAGGAUGUCACACCAUC
rnacentral:misc_RNA from 1 species